GAUUAACGCUAGCGGCAGGCCUAAUACAUGCAAGUCGAGGGGCAGCGCGGGUAGCAAUACCUGGCGGCGACCGGCGCACGGGUGCGUAACACGUAUGCAACCUACCUUAAACUGUGGGAUAGCCCCGAGAAAUCGGGAUUAAUACCACAUAACAUUGCGAUGAGGAGUCUCAUUGCAAUUAAAGCUCCGGCGGUUACAGAUGGGCAUGCGUGACAUUAGCUAGUUGGUGAGGUAACGGCUCACCAAGGCGACGAUGUCUAGGGGUUCUGAGAGGAUUAUCCCCCACACUGGUACUGAGACACGGACCAGACUCCUACGGGAGGCAGCAGUAAGGAAUAUUGGUCAAUGCCCGGAAGGGUGAACCAGCCAUCCCGCGUGAAGGAUGAAGGGGCUCUGCCUUGUAAACUUCUUUUGUAUGGGGCAAAAAGGGGAUUUAUCCUCGACUGACGGUACCAUAAGAAUAAGCACCGGCUAACUCCGUGCCAGCAGCCGCGGU
rnacentral:rRNA from 1 species